AUCAGUUAGUGAGCCGCAUCUCAGAGGUGGUUUCCCUCUUGCAACAGUCAGGUGGUGCUGUAACUCAGGAUACGGACCUUGCCCUCAGUUACUCACGUCUUCCACUGGGUAAGAAGGCUGCCUGGAGCUUGAGGGCUCUGUUUCUACCAAAAAUCCCUGGCACAAACUGGUGAGUCUAGGUCCUGAUCCUGUAUUCGAGGCUCUGUUUUGUUGACAGCAGACAAGAGGCCAAGAAGUUGGGAAGGUUUGACAACUCAGAACCCAAUGGAGACCCUCACCAAAGGUGAAAUAAUUGUUGAGCCAGUCAGGAGGAACCAUAAUUUAUACUUGUCUGUAACAUCUACACGGAAACCUAAUAUAAUGCAGUAGAAAAAGAAGAAGAAGGUGAAGGAGAAGAAGGAAGAGAAGGAAGAGAAGGAGGAAGAGAAAGAAGAUAAGGAGGAAAAGAAGGAAGAGAAGGGGAAGAAGGAGAAGAAGGAAAAGAAGGAAGAGAAGGGGAAGAAGGAGAAGAAUGAGGAGAAGAAGAAGGAAGAGAAGAAGAAGGUGAAGAAGGAGAAGAAGGAGAAGAAGGAGAAAGAGAAGGAGGAGAAGAAGGAGAAAAAGGAGGAGCAGAUGAAGCAGAAAGAGAAGGAGAAGGGGGAGAAAGAGGAGAAGGAAGAAAAGGAGGAGAAACAGAAGGAGAAAAGGAGGAGAAGAAGGAAGAGAAGGAGAAGAAGGAGGAGGAGGAAGGAGAAGGAGGAGGGAGCAGAAAGAGAAGAAGGAGAAGGAGGAAAAGAAGGAGGAGAAGGAGAAGCCCAAAAGAGAAGAAGAAGGAGAAGGAGAAGCAGAAAGAGAAGAAGGAGAAGGAG
rnacentral:lncRNA from 1 species